CACACUCCCGCGUGCACGCAGAGGGACGCGGGGAGCUGCCUUCUCCUCCUCCCGAGUCAGACCCUUGGCCCACCCAGCUCAGUCCGGUCUACCCGGACGGGCAGUGGCUCUGCAGGGAUUGACUCUGGACUUCCUGCGUGCAAAGCAGGCGCUCUGUUGCCACUGAGCUGCAGCCACAUUCCUGCCCGCUGCCGGCCCGGGUUUGUCAGACCAGCCUGCCUUCUGCAUGCAAAGAGGGUCUCUGUUGCCACUGAGCUGAGCCGUGACCCAGAGCCCACCCCUUCCCCAAAGAUUCCCUGCAGCCUCUUGGAGGACUCAGUGCAGGGAUGAAAAGCCAGCCAGCCCGCCUAAGCCUGCUGCUUGCUAGAAGGACAAGCCAGAUGCCUGGAAGCCACUGAUUCUUAUGCGGAGGAGUGUCUGGCACGGCCCAUUCACACCUCCUGGCCAUCCAGAGGCUCUAUUCAACUCCCCCACCCAGCAAUCAACUCCCUGCUGAUGGAGGGAAGCCCUCUGGCCUGUCCAGGGCGAAGAGAGCUCUCCUGCUUGCUCUCCAGGGAGACAUCCAGAGGGAAGUGCCGGAAGCAAAAGCCCCCUCUGGAUUUACUUGGCGAAGAAGAGCCUGCAGAAGCCGAGGAGAGCCCUCCUUCAGACUGCCAGCACCUCCCUCAGGACGUUAUCUGAGCAAUCUGGCCUGGGCCCUUGUGCAGAUAAGGAGGCCUUAAGGCCCUUUCCCCCUCCACACAAAGACACAUCCUGUCUUCCCAAUGGACUGGAACUGCUGUGUUUUUCUCCACUUGCUGCUGCUGCUGCUCUAUUUCAGAAGAGGAGGUCGUGGGUGCCGGACGGAGGGAGGUGAGCCGAGGCCGGUGACCAGGAGGACAAUGCAAGUGACAGAUGGGCUAGUCUGGUUUUUUUUUGUUUUUUUUUGAGGAGGUGGCCGUGCAGUUCAGCAGGGAGGAGUGGGCUCUGCUGGAUCCGUCCCAAAGGGCCUUGCACAAGGAAGUCAUGGAGGAGACGUUUGCCUUGAUGGCCGCUCUAGGUGACCGGGGGGAGAGUGAGGAGGAGGAAAAACCCCACCCAGCAUUGCUCAGAGGUAUCAGAUGGGGAAAGAAGGAAAAACAGAGAAGGCAAACUAAAGCAAAGCAGAGGAACGGGAAGGGAUCUUAUGCUUCUCAGUAUGGCAACAUCCAUAAAUUUGGAAUCCAAAAAACGGUGGCGAAAGAAAGGGAAAGGCGCCAGCGCCCUGCGAGAAGGAAAGCUUCUGAACCAGGCUUUCAAGCUCUGUGGGAAAUGGACACAAGGGAGAAACCACACAGAUGCUUGGAGUGUGGAAAGGGCUUCAUCAACAGGGGAAACCUCACCAAACAUCAAAGAAGCCACACUGGAGAGAAAUAAUAUACAUGCUUGUGAGGAUAAAAAAUGAGAUCUCCCUUCCCGAGCAUAGGGAGGCACCUAUAUAAUUGUGCAUGAUAUGUUAAAACCAGCACAGACUCUUUUCCCCCAAAAGGGAAGUUUGAAUAAAAUUUUUGCCUUGCUUCCUUAGCAAAACUUUUGCAUAUAGAAAUGGAACUAGGAGCAUAUUUGAGGUGUGCGUCAUUUCAGCAAGCUGAGAGUGUUUCGAGUCCUCAUCAAGGAAGAAAAUAGGGCCUGGCUGGUUUGCAAAUAUUCCAUAUUGACAAAAAUACCCAGGAAAUGAGAUGGAAUCCUGACUGCAGCCCCACCUCCCUCCCUCCUCCCUCCCUCCCUCCAGGACUUAGUCAACCAGAGCAGGUCAACUGGGUGGUUCUUCCACGAUCAGAGCAGUCUUUGGGGGAUGGCUAUUGAGAACAGUGUUCCCGCUGACAGGGAGUCCCAGGGGUUGUUGACUACAACUCCCAUAAUCCCCAGCCAAAGGGCACUGCAGCUGGGGAUGCUGGGAGCUGUAGGGAACAACAUCUGGAAAUCCCUGUCAGAGGGAACAGUGAUUGAGAAGGGGAUUUCUGUCUUAUUUCAGGCUCUGACCACAUUUCUCUCCAUUCCAGCAAGUAACGGGUGGGAGAGUGAAGAGGACGAAAGACCCACCUGCCAAAGUUUGUUCAGACGGAAAAAGAGAGAACAGAAAAGGAAAACCUGCGGCAAAAGAGAAGAACAAGGAGAGACCUUCUGCUUCCCAGUAGGGUGACAUCUAUAAAACCAAAAAGACAAGGGGGAAAGAAGUCCCUGCCCUGUAAGUAGGAAAAACUUCAGUUCUGAACCAAGUUUUCAGCCUCAGUGAAAAAUGGACACAGGUAAGCAACCAUAUAAAUGCUUGGAGUGUGGUUUAGUGGGAGUUACAACCUCAAUUUACAUCAUAAGAACAUAAGAACAGCCCUGCUGGAUCAGGCCCAAGGCCCAUCUAGCCCAGCAUCCUGUUUCGCACAGUGGCCCACCAGAUCCACUGGAAGCCACAGACAGGAGUUGAGGGCAUGCCCUCUCUCCUGCUGUUGCUCCCCUGCAACUGGUACUCAGAGGCAUCCUGACUUUGAGGCUUGAGGUGGCCCACAGCCCUCCGACUAGUAGCCAUUGAUAGACCUCUCCUCCAUGAAGUCAUCCAAACCCCUCUUAAAGCCAUCCAGGUUGUGGGCUGUCACCACAUCCUGUGGCAGAGAGUUCCACAAGUGAAUCACGCAUUGUGUGAAAAAGUACUUCCGUUUGUUGGUCCUAGACCUCCUGGCAAUCAAUUUCAUGGAGUGACCCCUGGUUCUAGUGUUGUGUGAGAGGGAAACGAAUCUCUCUCUCUCCACUUUCUCCACGCCAUGCAUGAUUUUAUAGACCUCUAGCAUGUCUCCCUGCAGUCAUCUUUUUUCUAAACUAAAAAGCCCCAGGUGUUGUAGUCUUGCCUUGUAAGAAAGUUGCUCUAGGCCCCUGAUCAUCUUGGUUGCCCUUUUCUGUACCUUCUCCAGUUCAACAAUGUCCUUUUUAAGAUGUGACCAGAAUUGUACGCAGUACUCCAGGUGUGGCUGCACCAUAGUUUUGCAUAAGGGCAUUAUAAUAUUAGCCGUUUUAUUUUCAGUCCCCUUCCUAAUGAUCCCUAGCAUGGAAUUGGCCUUUUUCACAGCUGCCGUGCACUGAGAUGACACUUUCAAUGAGCUGUCCACCACAACCCCAAGAUCCCUUUCCUGGUCCGUCACCAACAGCUUGGAUCCCAUCAGCAUAUACUUGAAGUUGGGGUUUUUCGUUCCAAUGUGCAUCACUUUACACUUGCUAACAUUGAACCGCAUUUGCCAUUUUGUCGCCCACUCCCCCAGUUUGGAGAGAUCCUUUUGGAGCUCCUCACAAUCCGUGUUGGAUUUCACUACCCAAAAGAGUUUGGUAUCAUCUGCAAAUUUGGCCACCUCGCUGCUUACCCCUGCUUCUAGAUCAUUUAUGAAUAAAUUAAAAAGCACCGGUCCCAGUACAGAUCCCUGGAGGACCCCACUUCUUACUUCCCUCCAUUGUGAAAACUCUCCAUUGAUACCUACCCUCUGUUUCCUGUCUUUCAACCAGUUAGCAAUCCACACAUGUACUUGUCCCCUUGUCCCAUGACCGCUAAGUUUCCUCAGGAGUCUUUGAUGAGGAACUUUGUCAAAAGCUUUUUGGAAGUCCAGGUAGACUAUGUCAACUGGAUCACCUUGAUCCACACACUCGUUGACACUCUCAAAGAAGUCCAAAAGGUUGGUGAGGCAAGAUUUACCUUCGCGGAAGCCAUGCUGGCUCACUCCCAGCAGGGCCUGUUCUUCUAGGUGCUGUACAAUUUUAUCCUUGAGGAUGAUUUCCAUCAAUUUGCCUCGAACGGACAUUAGGCUAACCGGCCUGUAAUUUCCCGGAUCGCCCCUGGAUCCCUUUUUGAAAAUCGGUGUUACAGUUGCUACUCUCCGGUCCUCUGGUACAGAGCCCGAUUUCAGGGAUAAGUUAAAUAUUUUAGCAAGGAGGUCGGCAAUUUCACAUUUGAAUCCUUUGAGGACUCGUGGAUGGAUGCCAUCUGGCCCUGGUGAUUUGUUAGCUUUCAGUUUUUCCAGACAGUUUAGAACAUCAUCCCUUGUCACUUCUAUCUGACUCAGCUCUCUAGCCUCCAUCCCUAAAAAGCCUGGUUCAGGAACAGGUAUAUGCUCAGUAUCCUCUGCCGUGAAGACAGAUGCAAAGAACUCAUUCAGCUUCUCUGCAACCUCCAUAUCCUCCUUAAUAAUCCCUUUCACUCCCUCAUUGUCUAAUGGCCCAACUGCCUCCCUGGCAGGUUUCCUGCUUCUGAUGUACUUAAAGAAGUUUUUGUUAUUCCCCUUGAUCCUUUUGGCUAAAUGUUCCUCAAACUCUUUUUGCCUCCCUUAUUGUCACCUUGCAUUUCUUUUGCCAGAGUUUGUGUUCCUUUCUGUUCUUUUCGUUUGGACAGGCCUUCCAAUUUCGGAAGGAAGUCUUCUUCCCUUUUAUGGCUUCCUUGACGGUACCCGUUAGCCAUGCUGGCAUCCUCCUGGACUUAGUGGUACCUUUCCUCCUUUUGGGUAUACAAUCUAACUGGGCUUCUAGUAUUGUGGUUUUGAGUAAACUCCAUGCACUCUGGAGCGAAGUGACUCUCCUGAUUUUCCUCCUCAGCUCUCUUUUCACCAUACUCCUCAUUUUGGAGAAGUUUCCUCUUCUGAAAUUCAAAAUGUCCAUGUUAGACAUCCUUGGUUAUUCUCUCCCCACAUGUAUGCUGAAUUUGAUGGCACUGUGGUCACUGUUCCCUAAAGGGUCGAUGACACUGAUGUCACGCACCAGGUCCUAGGUGUCACUCAGAAUUAGAUCCAAGGUCGCUUUCUCUCUGGUUGGUUCUAUGACCAACUGUUCUAGGGCACAGUCAUUUAGUAUAUCUAGAAAUUUGACCUCUUUGUCCUGACUCAAAUGUGAAUUUACCCAGUCUAUGUGUGGGUAAUUGAAGUCACCCAUGAUUACUGCCCUGCCUCUCCUUGAUGCCUCCCUGAUUUCCUCCUGCAACUCCCAAUCACUGUCGGCAUUAUGAUCCGGAGGGCGAUAGCACGUCCCCAGUAGCACGUUCCCUUUCCGGCCUUGUAUAGUCACCCACAGGGUUUCUGUGGAGGACUCCAGUCCACCUAGGUUUUCUAGCUUGUUAGAUUCUAUCCCUUCUUUAACAUGCAGUGCUACUCCACCUCCAAGGUGCCCCUCCCUGUCCUUUCUAUAGAGUUUAUACCCAGGGAUAACAGUGUCCCACUGGUUCUCACUGUUCCACCAGGUUUCUGUUAUGCCCACUAUAUCUAUUUCUGCAUUAGCAACCAAGCACUCCAGCUCAGCCAUCUUGGCUCGGAGGCUUCUGGCAUUGGCAUAUAAGCACCUAUACACUGAAUCUCUCCCCUGAUGUAUGCUAUUCUUUUGGCUCUUUGACCUGCUGGCACAGGCUCCCAUCUGCUCUUUAUGCGGUUCUGCUCUGUCCCUUUCUGUUUUAUCUGAAUUCUUUGCAGCCUCACACUUUAAAGGGUGGCUUUUGCCAAACGGGAUACUGCCCAGCUCCCAUCGGCUGUUCCCCAGGUGUCAUUUUAAAAGCUGCUCUGCAACCUUUUUGAUUUUAAGUGCCAGCAGUCUGGUUCCAUCUUGGUUCAAGUGCAGCCCAUCCCUUUUGUACAGGCCUUGCUUGCCCCAAAAUGUGUCCCAGUGCCUAACAAAUCUAAACCCCUCCUCCCAGCACCAACGUCUCACCCACGCAUUGAAACCCCUCAGCUCUGCCUGUCUCACUGUACUUGCGCGUGGAACAGGUAGCAUUUCUGAGAAGGCUACCUUGGGGGUCCUGGACUUCAAAAUGCUACCUAUCAGCCUAAAUUUGGCUUCCAGGACCUCCCGACUGCAUUUCCCCACAUCGUUGGUGCCGACGUGCACCACAACAGCUGUCUCCUCCCCUGCACUGCCUAGGAGCCUAUCUAGACGCUGCGUAAUGUCCUGUCAAGGAGACUGAGGAGCGGACGCCAGCCGAGAGAGCAUUCCAAAGCCUGGGGGCCAUGACUGAGAAAGCCCCGUCCCACAUACUCAGCAACCAAACCUCUCUCACUGUUGGCACACGGAGCAGACCCCCUCCGAUGAUCUUGUCAAGCGGGCAGAAACCCUUGGGAGCAGGCCAGGUUGCUGCUGGCUUGAGACCUUAGAGGGACACAGCAAGGGCUCUGCCUGCCAUCUCUCCCCAGGACUCAGUCACCCAGAGCAGGGCGGCUUCGUGGUUCUUCUGUGAUCAGAGCAGUCCCUCUGUGCUGCCCUUUGAGAAGGGAAGGCCUUUCCUGUCUCAGGCUCUGAACGGUUCUCUCUCUUUGUUUCAGCAGGUGACGGCUAGGAGAGUGAGGAGGAAGGAAGACCCCACCCAUGAUUGUGCAGAGGGAUCAGAUGGAAAAAGAGGGCACAACAGAAGGAAAACCUUAAGCAAAGGAGAAGAACAAGAAAAACAGGGGAAAGAAGUGAGAAAUGAACACAAAGGGGAAACCGCAUAAAUGCUUGGAGUGUGGAAAGAGCUUCAGUGCGAGUUCCCACCUCACUUCACAUCAAAGAACCCACACUGGAGAGAGACCAUAUAAAUGCUUGGAGUGUGGAAAGAGCUUUACUGACAGUGGAUCCCUUACUAUUCAUCAAAGAAUACAUACUGGAGAGAGACCAUAUAAAUGCUUGGAGUGUGAUAAGUGAUUCAGUGACAGUGCAAAACUUAGCAAACAUCAAAGAACCCACACCAGAGAGAAACCAUUUCUGUGCUUGGAGUGUGGAAAGAGCUUCAGUGACAAUGGAAACCUUACCAUACAUCAAAGAAUUCACACUGGUGAGAAACCAUAUCACUGCCUGGAGUGUGGAAAGCGCUUCAGUAGCAAUGGAUCACUUCUUGUGCAUCAAAGAAGCCACACUGGAGAGAGACCAUAUCAGUGCUUGGAGUGUGGAAGGAGCUUCAGUGGGAGUGACUACCUCAAUUUACAUCAAAUGACUCACACUGGAGAGAAACCUUUUAAAUGCUUGGAGUGUGGAAAGAGCUUCAGCACCAGUGGAAAUCUUAAUCGGCAUCAAAGAACCCACACUGUGUAGAAACUACAUCCGUGCUCAGAGAGUGGAAAGAGCUUCAGCCAGAACGGGGAUCCUACUAAACGUCAAAGUACCCACAGUGGAAAUGGGGAUUUCUGUUUUAGAAUUUCACUUGGAAGUAAAGGAACCAUUUGCAACUUGAAGGAUUUCAUUUUAAACAUUAGCCAUUUUAUUUUAUAAUGGCCAUAUAUGGUAAGCUUGAAUUAUAGUACAUUUGAAUCUGAAAGGAUCUUCUGCUUUCUGGGGGCAUCAUGUUGUUUUAGAUGUAUCCUUGAGUGAUUAAAACCCCUUGAGAGCAAUAAAAGUGAAAAGGAUUAA